ACCCGCUGAACUUAAGCAUAUCAAUAAGCGGAGGAAAAGAAACUAACAAGGAUUCCCCUAGUAACUGCGAGUGAAGCGGGAAAAGCUCAAAUUUAAAAUCUGGUAGUCUUUGGCUGCCCGAGUUGUAAUCUAGAGAAGCGUUAUCCGCGUUGGACCGUGUAUAAGUCUCCUGGAAUGGAGCGUCAUAGAGGGUGAGAAUCCCGUCUUUGACACGGACUACCAGGGCUUUGUGAUGCGCUCUCAAAGAGUCGAGUUGUUUGGGAAUGCAGCUCUAAAUGGGUGGUAAAUUCCAUCUAAAGCUAAAUAUUGGCGAGAGACCGAUAGCGAACAAGUACCGUGAGGGAAAGAUGAAAAGAACUUUGGAAAGAGAGUUAAACAGUACGUGAAAUUGUUGAAAGGGAAACGCUUGAAGUCAGUCGCGUUGACCAGGGAUCAACCUUGCUUUUGCUUGGUGUACUUCCUGAUUAACGGGUCAGCAUCAAUUUUGACCAGUGGAAAAAGUUCGAGGGAAUGUGGCAUCUUCGGAUGUGUUAUAGCCCUUGGUCGUAUACAUUGGUUGGGAUUGAGGAACUCAGCACGCCGCAAGGCCGGGUUUUAACCACGUUCGUGCUUAGGAUGCUGGCAUAAUGGCUUUAAUCGACCCGUCUUGAAACACGG
rnacentral:rRNA from 1 species